UACGAAGGGGGCUAGCGUUGCUCGGAAUCACUGGGCGUAAAGGGUGCGUAGGCGGGUCUUUAAGUCAGGGGUGAAAUCCUGGAGCUCAACUCCAGAACUGCCUUUGAUACUGGCGAUCUUGAGUCUGGGAGAGGUGAGUGGAACUCCGAGUGUAGAGGUGAAAUUCGUAGAUAUUCGGAAGAACACCAGUGGCGAAGGCGGCUCACUGGCCCGGUACUGACGCUGAGGUGCGAAAGCGUGGGGAGCAAACAGG
rnacentral:rRNA from 1 species